UUGCGCCGAGGGCCAAGAUUAAUCAGCAGCGGUCCAGGCGGUUCCGGGUUGCGAAGGACGCGGCUGAUGCGGUAACGUUACUGCUUGGGUGUCAUGGCAUUGCCAUUGCAGGCAGCUGUGUUUGUUCUACAGCGCAAUCUUCCAGGGUUUGACCCAAACACACGCCAUGUCUUAUAUGGCCUUGAUGCAGAUUUGAUCAUGCUUGCUCUGGCAACUCAUGAGGUCCACUUCUCGAUUUUAAGAGAGGUGAUCACCAUGCCAGGGCAACAUGAAAAAUGCUUUCUGUGUGGU